rnacentral:rRNA from 1 species
CGGACGGGUGAGUAAUGUCUGGGAAACUGCCUGAUGGAGGGGGAUAACUACUGGAAACGGUAGCUAAUACCGCAUAACGUCGCAAGACCAAAGAGGGGGACCUUCGGGCCUCUUGCCAUCAGAUGUGCCCAGAUGGGAUUAGCUAGUAGGUGGGGUAACGGCUCACCUAGGCGACAAUCCCUAGCUGGUCUGAGAGGAUGACCAGCCNCACUGGAACUGAGACACGGCCAGACUCCUACGGGAGGCAGCAUG